AGGCUGCGCUCAGUCGCUUUCCUACAGCAGGGCAGGCGUGUUCGUGGACGCAACAGGAUAUUUCCUGCCAGGACUUUCCAGUUACUUCGGAAUAAGCAAACACUGAAGACCAAGUGCUUCGCUCACUUCCACAGAGCUGUUCGCGUUGGAUUGACAGGAAGUCUAAAGUCAAAUCACGGAAAUAAAACCAUACUGUAAAACUUUACAGUUCAUCAGAAUUUCAAAUGAUGGUUUCCAGCCUGAGAUCAGUUUGAAACUGUAAUGUUUGGAAGAUACAGGUUGGCUGGUUGGUUUGCGGGAGGGACCAGACGAGGUCAUCGCUCCCAUCGGAUUUGCGGAGGAAGGGGAACGAAGUCGGCCGCGCCCUUUCAAAGGAACCGUCCCGACAUUUGCCUGAAGCGAUUUAGGGGAAUGGCGGAAAACCUCAAUCAGGAUGGCCGUGCGCGGGUUUGAACCGUCGUCCUUCCGAGUACGAGAACAUACAGGGCGUCCAGAAGUGCGCAGCUUAAUACACUAUUUCUCUCUCCUGAAGCAUAACAAACAGUCGUUGAAACGUGGACAAUGAAAGAAACGUAAACUCAUUGCUUGAAGAAACUGGCGUUCAAAUUUUCUAUUUACCCUUCGAUUUAAUAACUGAGUAAUACAUUUUUGCCAGCGACGAAAAGUUUCACAAACAGUAAUGAAAACAUAGCACAAAUGUAGGUUACGGUAUAUUUAAAACUGUCGAGAAACUGUCUUCAAUCGUAGAAAAUACUGUCGUUUUCAGAUGACACUUUUCCCUUGCACACAGAAGCACUUACUCAGAAUUUCUCUUGCACAGAUGGUAACCAUAGCUUUCACACGUUAAGUCGCUUUCUGUGGUCUUUAUCUCUGGCUCUCUGCUUAACUGCGUUCUUGAAGCAUGUGUGGCAUCUGGCUUUCUCCUAGUUGGUUCUUCAUUUGGAACAGGAGUAAUUUAAAUAACCUCUAGCUUCUUUCCGGGUGUGGCUCUUAACAGCGUAAAUGAUGGGCAAAUGCAGUUCUUUCAAGUCCUCGAAUCGUUCUUCAAAAGUUACACUCCUAAUUCGCGCGUCUGCAGUUUUCUGCCGUUCGUUGCGCCGAGGCACACCCACGCUGGACGUUGUGUUAAGAGCUGACUGCAGCUACGGCAAGCAGACCGCAGAACACACGCCUCCCGUCCCUGGCGUUUGGUCUGCAGCACCCACUCCUCCCUAAGGUUUUUCCGGGUUUUCUUCUUCCGUGCGUCAAGUUGUCAUUCCUGGCAGCAAAUUUUUCUUCACUUUCUCCUUUGUGAUUCCAGUAUAACUCUUAGUGGAGGCUUACUGGUCGGUAAAUCUGCGAAUGCAAACCUGGAGGAGUACACCUCUUUGCCUGCUGCCGUCUAAGCUCUUUCGGUGUGCGUUUCGUGUUGCAUUAGGAAGUCCCAGCUGAGAGAAGCCUGUAGUCGUGUGACAGAGACGGUGGGUUGUGGUGUCGCAGCCUGUAUUCCUUUCCUUACCGGCUCCACCGGUGCCUCCAAACUCUCUCUCAGCACGGCGUCCGCAGGCGCGCCUGCUCUCCCUUCGUUUCUGUUGUGUAUCACUCGGCAGCACUACCGAACGUGCUAACGUGUGCGCCAGGUUUGCCUUUGGGGAAAGCGUUAAAUGGCAAGACACAACAUCCCGUCAAUUGUAUUGUGACGCCCACCUUGCGAAUAUACCGUUCACUUCUUCGAAGACUGUGGCAAAUAUCCAGGUAAGCUCUCAUUUUAAUUAAAAUUCAGAACAAAGCGUCUAUUUCAGAAUCGGUAACGGGAGAUUCAUUUUCUCAUUCAGAUUCUUCUGUUGUAGGACCGCAAUUUUCCUAACAAUUUCGAGAGUGAAAUUUUUUUGAAUGGUUCACACACACAUUCCUCUCGCAGCUGUAGUUACUCGCUGAGGUUCGUGGUCCAAGUUGGUAAACUCACUUUUCACAGACUCCGGGAUGCUUCUUCGGGAUGCGCUCUACCAGAGCUUGUAGCGUAUUUGGAGUGUUACCUGUGUGGAUUGUUUCUUCGUUGUCCUCCAUUUCUUUUUCAUUUGCAUUCUCUCCAACUUGUAUUUAAUCCGACUCGUAAUCUCGUAACGCACAUAAUUUUUCGACUGCUGAAAAGUUAAGCGUGAAUUUCUGCCUCGUCGAGGCAAAUCUAUCUUAGAAGAAACACGUUUGGUUUAUUGUGACAAACUGCUGCUAUUAGUGGUCAGUUAUAAAUCAGCUACGAAAAUGAAAGUAAACAAUUACAUGUUCAAAAAGUGUAAGU